CGCCCCCCGGCACGGCGGGCGCUUUAUUGCGCUGUGUGCCGCGCCCGCCCGCGCCGUCCCGGUCCGGCACCGCCAGGUUCUCAUCCUCGGUUACCGGGCCGUGGGUCCGUGCAGGGGGACUCGGCCUGGGGGUGUCCUUGGCUCCGGAGAGGGCGGCCCUGCCUUCCGGGGGUCUCUACGUGAGACCGGGGCUGCUCCACUGGGGAUUACCGGGAACGGCGGGUGCACCGGAUGGGCGCAGCACGGACGAGUCCUGCCACACUCCCUCAUCAUCAGCAUCCAUGGCUCCAUCCUGAUCCAUUCGGUGACAUCCCUGGGGGACCCCUGAGACUGGGGGACAAGUCACCUGGGACAGGGAGGACACCUCGGUGGGAUGAAGUGCCUCGAUAUCCCCUUGUCCCCACAGCUUCCAGGUGGUCAAAUCCUCCACAAGAAGCUGAGUUGGGGGAGGACAUGGCAGGUGCUGUACCUCCUGGGGAGGGGGUCCCAGGGUGGUCUGGGCCCUGAUCCUCCCUGUGCCCGUGGUGCUGACCUGGCCCUGCAGAGGUAAGGGAGGGUCUGGGGUCCCACGUGUGUGUCUGUGUGUCCCACUGGCACAUCCUGCCUGUCCCCUGCUGUUCUGCUGUGUCCCCAGCUGGGAGGUGAGGACGGAUGGAGGGAAGAAGCUGGUGGAAUUGUGAGGGGCCAUUUUCCUCAAGUCCUCAGCCAAGGAGAGCCAGGUGUGGGGCACAGAGCUCACCUGGAGCCCCAAUAUGCUGGCACUGAUGUCCCCUCAGCCUCAGGUGACCACAGGGAUCUUCAUGAAGCUCACUGAGGAGACUGACAAGCUGGACAAGUCCUGUGGCAGAUCCAGCAGCCUGGUGUGAUCCCUGGGGUGGGGCAGACCCUUCCCCAGAGCCCUCCUUUGGGGGAGCCCCUCACUUUGCACAGCCUGUGGAGCUCACAGGGGGCUGGGGGCUCUCCCCCCAGCUCAUCUCUGCUGCCCCCCCCACACACAAGGACAGGUCGGGGCCGUUCCUGCUCCAGCAGCUGGGGCUGAAUGCGGGUGUUGUUCCCCCGGACCCGUGGGAGUCGGGGCUGAAACAAUUAAACCUUGUUUUGUCUCUAAA